CGGGAAGUGGGGUGGCAGCGUUAUCCGGAUUAUUGGGCGUAAGCGCGCGCAGGCGGUUUCUUAAGUCUGAUGUGAAAGCCCACGGCUCAACCGUGGAGGGUCAUUGGAAACUGGGGAACUUGAGUGCAGAAGAGAAAAGCGGAAUUCCACGUGUAGCGGUGAAAUGCGUAGAGAUGUGGAGGAACACCAGUGGCGAAGGCGGCUUUUUGGUCUGUAACUGACGCUGAGGCGCGAAAGCGUGGGGAGCAAACAGGAUUAGAUACCCUGGUAGUCCACGCCGUAAACGAUGAGUGCUAAGUGUUAGAGGGUUUCCGCCCUUUAGUGCUGCAGCUAACGCAUUAAGCACUCCGCCUGGGGAGUACGGUCGCAAGACUGAAACUCAAGGGGAAUUGACGG
rnacentral:rRNA from 2 species